GGUGCCGGUGCCCCCUCCCCCCGCUUUUAAGGCGCAUCCAUCCCCCAGCCCUGGGAGCAGGGGGAGGAGGUGAAGGGGCAGCGCCCCCCCAGCGCAGAGAGCGACGAGAGCUUUUCACCCUCACCCGCGCGCGCGGAGGCCGUUGGCCUGCGGCCGUUAGGAGGGGCUCCCGUGCAGCGCGCGGGGUCUCCUGCCGCACGUGGAGCAGGCGGGGUGGGGGGGCGGUUGAGAGCGGGCGGGGGGAGGGAGCGCUCUCUCAGGAACAGCCCCUCCCCCAGCGGGAGGCGGCAGCCGCCAAGCUGCUCGCCGCCUCCCUUCGCGAGGGGUCGCUUCGCCCGCCUCUCCCGCGAGCUCGCCCCCUCCCCGCGCGCUGGGCCGGUCCUAGGGGGACGCAGGCACCGAACCUACCCCGUCCUGCGUGAGACACUUCCUGCUGCCACAGCCCGGCCGGCCGGCGAGGAGGGCGCAGAGACUUGCCGCAGGCCGUAUGAAAUGAAGCAGUGGGCCAGAUCUGACCUGCAGGCCAUAGGUUCCACACUCCUGGUAUAACAUGAUCCAAUGGCUGGAAGUUGAAGGAGGUCAAACUAGAUGAUCACAAUGGUCCUUUCUGGCCUUGGAAUUUAUGAAUCUAUGGACCCACCUACCCCAGUUCCCAAAGUUAAUGCUGAUUAAGAAUAUCAGGAAUAUCAAGUCUGCUUUGGAGGACUCAGAGUACUAGGAAUUUCCUCUUUACCAACAAGAACUUUUAUUCCAUUUGUAAGAUAUUGGAGUUAAAUAAAAUUAACUUUUAAAAACAGUGAA